UACAGAGGGUGCAAGCGUUAAUCGGAAUUACUGGGCGUAAAGCGUGCGUAGACGGUUAUGUAAGUCGGAUGUGAAAGCCCCGGGCUCAACCUGGGAAUUGCAUUUGAGACUGCAUAGCUAGGGUGCGGAAGAGGGAAGCGGAAUUUCCGGUGUAGCGGUGAAAUGCGUAGAUAUCGGAAGGAACACCAGUGGCGAAAGCGGCUUCCUGGUCCAGCACCGACGUCAGGCACGAAAGCGUGGGGGAGCAAACAGG
rnacentral:rRNA from 1 species